UACGUAGGGGGCAAGCGUUGUCCGGAAUCAUUGGGCGUAAAGAGCGUGUAGGCGGUUCGGUAAGUCGGCUGUGAAAGUCCAGGGCUCAACCCUGGGAUGCCGGUCGAUACUGCCGGACUAGAGUUCGGAAGAGGCGAGUGGAAUUCCCGGUGUAGCGGUGAAAUGCGCAGAUAUCGGGAGGAACACCUAUGGCGAAGGCAGCUCGCUGGGACGUUACUGACGCUGAGACGCGAAAGCGUGGGGAGCAAACAGGAUUAGAUACCCUAGUA
rnacentral:rRNA from 1 species